UCGGUCGCGCCUGCCCGGCCCAGACUCUGUGCUUGGGUGUCGGUCUGAGCCUGGGUCAUGCGCGACCGG
rnacentral:pre_miRNA from 1 species